CACACACACACACAAGAAAGAAGGAAAUCCUACCAUUUUUGACACCAAGGAUGGAUUUUGAGGGUAUUCUGCUAAGUAAGAUAAGUCAAAUGUGAAAGACAGAUAUUGUAUGCUCUCAUUUCUAUGUAAAAAUCGAAAAAAGCUGGACUCAGAAAUAGAGUAGAAUGAUGACUGUCAGGGGCUAAUGGCCGGGAGAAAUGGAGAUACGUUGGUCUUCUAGUUAUAAGAUGAAUAAGUUCUGGAGAUCCAAUAUACAGCAUGAUAACUAUAGUUAACAAUACUGUAUUGUAUACUUGAAAGAUGCUAAAAAUAGUUCUGAAAUGUUCUCACCAAGCACACACACACACACAAGGUAAUUAAUUAAGGUAACUUCCCUGUGUUAAUUAACCCUAUUCUGGUAAUCAUUUUUCAAUAUAUACAUGGAUCAAAUCAUUAUGUGGAACUUAAACUUACAUCAUGUUACAUGUCAACUAUAUCUCAAUAAAGGUGGGGGAAAACACCUUCAAUCCAAAGUACUUUUGUUGUAUUAUUAUAAUAGCUAACAUUGAUAGAAGGCUGAAUAUGUGCCAAGCCCUGGGUGGGUGGCUCUUCAGGCAUUGUUUCAUUUAAGAAGUAAUUUUUGUGGAUCUGCUCAAUAAACUUGGCUGCAAACACCAAGAGGGGUGUGGCGGGUGCUAGAUAACCAUCAAGGCAGCAGACGGCCUUGUUCACAUAGCUUCCUGGAUUCAGUUAUUCGAUACACUUUUGGGAGGAACUUGUAUCACAUAUCUAAUCAUCUGUGUUCUAUUUGUAUGAUAUUUGUAUGACUUUGUUCCUGGUGAAAAACAUCACUUUGAUGUUUCACAUCAUUAAAAAGAAAACCAAGUAUCUCUCAAGACAAAAAAAAGGAGCUUUUCAGGCAAAACAGAGGCCUUCCAUCUUUUUUUUUUUUUAAAAAGGGGAGUUACAUUUUAAGUGUCCCAUAUCCAUCUGUCCCCAUCAAGCAUCUCUUUCUGCAAAGCUGUUUAAGUCUUUUUGGAAAUCCUUUGUGCCCUUUUCCAAUGUUACUGAACUUACUUGCUGUGGGACUUCGUAGGCAGACUCGCUCUUCAGCUGCCUUCCAGGGGUCAUGCACAUUCCUUUCAAUAACAGGAGAGCAGGAAAAUGGGGAUUGCAUUUGCAAAGGGCUAAAAAGCCCAUGCAAGGGGAAAGAGGUAGGGGUUUUUGAUGUCCCACGACCUGGGCCAAUUAGCUGGCUAACGCUGAUUGUGAUGAAGAAGCAUAUGAGGGUGGGGGUGACAGUGAUAGUUGAUAAUGGGUAUCGAGUCCCUCAGAAACUUGGAAACUGGUUUGUGUAACUAUUUCAUUUCAUCCUCAUGACAGCCAAGUGAACUCGGUGUCAAUAUACCCAUUUAUAGACCAUGAAACUGAGCCUCUGCAUUCCUGUCCACCUGCUCUAGGUCGUACUAUUGGUAAUUAACCAGACAAGCUGCGAUUUGAACCCAGUUCAAUCUAAUCCAGGUAUUGGGCUUUUAGCUUGUACACAGUACUGACUUAAGACCUCAGCACCACGAUUCCUUUGUAAGAGAUGGUGAAUCUACUACACUCUUUAAUUCUAUUGUGAUUUAUAUGGUGGUGUUAUUUACUAUUUGAACAUUAUCAGUCAAUAAAUCAGACAUCCACCCGAAGAGUCAGUCAGAAAAAACUGUCACAUAAAUGUCAGAAGUGUCUACUAGAUUGGCAUUCAGUCUGUGGGUGGGAGGGCAGCGUGAUGCAGAGGAAAGACCUGGGUGUGGGGUGGCCCGGCCAGGUCCUGGCCCCACCCAUGCUGACGGCUGUGUGACCUUGGCCAGACACUUAACCUCUCUCAGCCUCAGUUUCCUCACAUGUAAGAUGGAGCUAAAAAUGUCCACCUUAAAGCGAUGCUGGAACCAUUGGAGAUCAUCAAUUACCAAUCCGUACAGUGCCUGGCUACACAGUGAAACAGUGCCCAUGAAGGAAAGAGACCCACUGCUGCUACUCAGUAAAUGGUAGGAAGGCUCUUUGGUAGUAAUGAUUAUUUCACUUUGUUCCUUACAAACCAGCAGUUGCAGUCAAGCUUCUGGGAUCAAACUCCAGUUCCUUACCUCAGCUUGAAGCCUCUGCCUGGUUGGUCCCUGCCCAGGUCACCAGCCUCACCUUUGGCCAUUUUCCCUCUCCCUGGGUUUAAUUGCUCAGAGAGGCCAAGCAUUGUCCUUCCACCACAGGACCUUUGAAUAUGUUAUAUCUUUGGCUGAAAAUCCUCUUUUGUCUUUUUAUUGACUCACUAUUCUUUCUUGUCCUCUAGGGGAGUCUUCCCUGAACCCUAGAAAAGAGCUGGCCUCUUCUUGUAUAUUCCCAGGCUCCUCGUUAUUUGGGACACAUCUCGUAGUGAUGAAGAAAGAGGGGUGUGAAGAGCUGAAAUAACUUGUCCAAUUGGAAAGUGGCAGAGUCAUGUAUAGAUCUGACUUGUUGAAAAAUGAUUUGAUGCAACUUUUUGAAAAUUGACUUCUUCAGAGCUGUGCAGAGCCAGACACAGUGCACCUUGUCCAACCAGCAGGCUCAAGCAUGGACAUGGGGGUGUUGAGCCAUCUCUGAACUGGCUGCCAAGAGCAACACCCCAGGUCCUGAGAGAAAACAAAGAUGGAAAGAAGCUAGUGGCUGGAUCACCUUGGAGAGCAGAACCUUCUGAAUCCACCGGAUGUGAGAGAGAAAUAGACCUACCGAAUAUUGGCCAUUGUUAUUUUGGACACUUUUAAGGCAGUCAAAGCAAUCUUCUAAUUUAUGAUAAUUGUUUGGUAUGAGAUCAUGGUAAUUUUUGCUAAAUACAUACUUUUUUUUCUUCCUGUGGGUUAUGCCAAAAUAGUUUCAAAUGAACACUUUUGAGGGUACAAGGAUAAACAAGGCACAGUUCAUUUCCUCUGAGAGUUUGAAGUGCAGUGGAAGAAUGUGUCACAUGCAUGAAUAGCUACUGUAAAAUGCAACAGAUGUAAAAGUAGAGACUCAGAGUUUUGUGGAACCAUAUAGAAAGCUGUGGCUGGAGAAAGACUGAGAGGAUGGAAUGGGCCCUACUUAGAAAAACCAUCUGCCGGUGGAUAAAAGUAAUAUAGUUUUUCAUUCCAUUUUAUGUUUAUAUAAUGUGCUUUUGUAUCUUGAUAACGUGGAGUUGCUGUUCUUUUCCAAACCUGUGUAUUUUGAAAGAAUUUUAGAGUUAUAGAAGAAUUCAGAGAGAGUACAGAGAAUUCCUGUACAACUUUCACCCAGCUUGUUGACCUUGUAUAUAACCUUAAUACUAAGAAAGUAAGUAUUAACAUAUAAAAGUUAACAUAUAAUUAAGUACAACAUAUGAUUUGGUAUCAACUAAACUCCAGACGUUGCCAGAUUUUACCAAUUUUUCCUCUACUUUUUUUUUUUCUGUUCCAGGAUCCAGUCUAGGAGGCAAAAUCACAUUUAGUCUUUAACUUUCGAAAUCCUGCUAGCCAGAUUUAGCUAACGAAGUAUUUACAGAGUAUCUUUCCAGUCAAGAAGACUGGAAUGGGAGCUACAGAGCACCUGUGUGAGGCCCAGAUCAAUCAUUAAUGAAACCUUAGGCCUGUCGGGUGGAUGGCUGUGGGGAUCAAACACGAAAGCACUCUGAAAAUCAUGAAGAACAAUCCUCUAGUGAGAUCAGUUAUUCACUCAUCAAUCAUCCAGAAAACACUUCCUGAGUUGCAGUCAUAUCUUAGACACUGGGUGUUAGGCACGGGGGCCACCCAACACAUGACUCCCAUUCAUUGCCUGCUGGCCUCUUCUAGUCUUGUAGAGCUGAUCAUUAAGUAUUUAUUGAAUGCCUGCCACAGGCCCUAGGAUACCAAUGAUUAACUUUCCAUUAGAGUGCAUUGCAUGAAUAUUCCAUUACAGUCCUGAAAGGGUUAAUGUGCUGCAAAUGGGUCCCUGUGUGCCUGGGGAGCCCUGCACCACUCCAGGAAGGCGGCAGAUACAUUAGGCUUCAAGUAUGUAUUUUCUUUUCCCCUCUGUUUAUGUCUCUGUUUUCUGUAAAGUCUCCUAAACUGCAGCGGUAUCUCCCAAGUUCUCUGACAAUGCUAUAAAUUUCAUUAAGAAGAUGAAGCCUGAUGGGGCAAUUAACUCCAAAAGUGGUACAAAGCAACAGCAGGGAGAUACCGGCCUGUAGUACUUAGCACUUAGCUCUGAAAUUGAGAUAAGACCUAUCAACUCGGGGUUGUGUUUAAUGUUCACUGCAGCUUCCAUACCACAGCUACAACCUAGCGGUCACCGUGUUAACACUCCCCAAUAUCUAUUACAAUUAGUUUUUGAUUAAGAGGCCUAACAUGGCUUUUGAAGCCUUUUAUGUUGUGUCAAAUGCCUAGUGAUGGAGUGAGAUGCGCAGACACCUCCCAGUAACAAAGCGUCUUGUAAAAGGUUUCAAGUGAACUAUUUUAUCAUCUUAAUGGAAACCAGAUGACGCUAACUCCCCCCUUAAUUUCAACUAUUUACUGAAGAGCCCUUGUUUUGAAUUACUUAAAGAUUUAUUCUUAAAUGACUACCUCAUGCGUUAAGAAUCACUAAUAACAGAGCCAUUUGGAAUUUGGGAAAGCUUUUAAAGAUGACUCAGGUGAUUUUCACAGAAAAUUUAUUUAAUUUUUUCUUUCCAUUUUUAAAAUAGCAAAUGCCUUUGCCUUUUUCUAGUAUUUACUUAUCAUUUUGAUUCUUGUUUAGGAGGCUUUUCUCUGCCGAGGGAUGCUUUUUCUGCUGGGAUUUCAGUCAUUGUCUUGAACUAUUUUCUAACAGAGAGGUCACUAGCAGAAAUAAACCAACUUUGUUUAGUUACAUAAGGUUUAAUUGUAGGCAAAUGGGAAAUGCAUGUUAUUUUUGUAAAGGUACAUUGGA